AGUAACACCAAAUCCCUAGCCCUCAUUGCCGCCUUAGCAAAUUUCACCUUGAAGGAGGAAGAAAGCCCAAAGCCUAAUCGCAAGAGUUAGAGAGUCGACUCUGACAUUCGACUUCGUCGCCGCUGUUCCUUAGUCCUCUCCACUCCACUCCCUCAUCUCAUCUCAUCUCGCAGCAGCUCACCGUUCCUCUCCACUCAUCGUCGUGACCGACCGUCGUCGAUCUACUCGAGUUGCUCCUGCCCUGCUUUAGUUCAGGUAAGUAGAGGUACUCCGCAUCUCAUAUGCAAGAGGGAGAGGGAAGUUUGAUGGGGAACAAUGUCGUAUCUUCUGCCGCACCUGCACUCGUGACAAGCUGUGGAUCAGGCAAUCCUAGCUGAGGAGGAGCGCCUCGCCGUCAUCUGAUUCGGCCACGAUUGGGAUGAAACCUGUAUACAGGACUAAUUAGGACACCACUUCCAGUGCUUGCAAAUGUCUAAGACCGAGAGGGCAAAAAGUAGGAUGGACUGGAGCUGUUUGGUUCAAUGGGCACACCCCUAAAGCAAUAUUCAUGAGCUGGUUUUAUCUGCUGGACUGAUUAAGCACAAAGGACAGGUUAGCUAAGUGGAUAGUUGAAGUUCGAGUCCGGGAAUGAGAAUUUUGUGGUAAUCACUUGGAGACACGUGAUCAUCUUCUCUUUGGCUGCCCUGUUACUCAAGCAAUUUGGCGAAGUCUGAUGGCUAGAAUUGGCUUGCAGAGAGGUCUUAUUGACUGGUUCUCUGAACUGAGUUGGAUUUCCUCUCUUAGAGGCAAGAAGUUGGAUACAAUUUGCUUGAAGCUUAUGUGGACACACUAUAUCUAUUGGAUGUGGCGUGAGAAAAAUGCAAGGAUUUACAAGAAGGUGUCGAUUGCCUACUUCAACCUCAUUGCAACAUGUUCUUGCUGAUAUGGAUCAUCCAAGCAACCAUGAGGCAAACCACAAUUACAAUACUUGGCCCAAGGUCCUAUGAGAGAGGUUACGAAGUGGAAACAAUACUUCGUCAAUGGUUUUAAAUUUGACACAAUGGAGAAUAAUGAAGGUAAGUUGAUAAAUAAUAGUAGAGUUUGGGUUAAAGGGAAUGUUAGUGCAGGCAUAAGAGAUUACUAUGGGAUAUUGAAGGAAGUCGUUGGAGUACAUUAACUUGGAGAACCAAUGAAAGUGAUAGUCUUGUUUAUGUGUGAA